UACGAAAGGGUGCAAACGUUUGCUCGGAAUUAUUGGGCGUAAAGCGCACGUAGGCGGCAUUGCAAGUCGGAUGUGAAAUCUUAUGGCUUAACCAUAAAAGUGCAUCCGAAACUGCAGUGCUUGAGUACUUAAGAGGAUCGCGGAAUCCCGGUGUAGAGGUGAAAUUCGUAGAUAUCGGGAGGAACACCAGUGGCGAAGGCGGCGUCUGGGAAGAUACUGACGCUGAGGUGCGAAAGCGUGGGGAGCA
rnacentral:rRNA from 1 species